UUCUUCGGGCACUGUACCGUGUCCUAACAGAGUAAGCACAUGGUGCUCGCUGACGUGCACUAUGACCUGACGCUGUGUGAAAUCAGGUCACAGUGCAGUGCUGCAGGAAGAGCGCGCUUGAUCUUCCAAGUGGCAGACCCAUCCAGAGCAGAAGAGAUCCAAAAUUAAGCUUGCUAAAGGAUUCCAGGAUUUCCAUCAUACUCCGAUCCUUGGUCUCUGGUAGUAUCCAGAAGGAAAAUAUAGCCGCAGAGAUGCAGUAAACCAAGAAGAAAAUGAAGCAGAAUGUCCCCAAUGCCUCCUAUUGAAAAACAGAGUACAGUAAUGAUCAUUACUAAAUAGAGAUUAUACUACAGAACAACACCAUCCAUCAACAUUGUAUAUUGCCA